rnacentral:rRNA from 1 species
GACGAACGCUGGCGGCGUGCUUAACACAUGCAAGUCGAACGGAAAGGCCCCAGCUUGCUGGAGUGCUCGAGUGGCGAACGGGUGAGUAACACGUGGGCAAUCUGCCCUUCACUCUGGGAUAACCCUAGGAAACUGGGGCUAAUACCGGAUAGGAGCUUUCUCCUCAUGGGGGGUGGUGGAAAGUUUUUCGGUUCGGGAUUGGCCCGCGGCCUAUCAGCUUGUUGGUGGGGUAAUGGCCUACCAAGGCGACGACGGGUAGCCGGCCUGAGAGGGUGAUCGGCCACAUUGGGACUGAGAUACGGCCCAGACUCCUACGGGAGGCAGCAGUGGGGAAUAUUGCACAAUGGGCGGAAGCCUGAUGCAGCGACGCCGCGUGAGGGAUGACGGCCUUCGGGUUGUAAACCUCUUUCAGCAGGGACGAAGCGCAAGUGACGGUAACUGCAGAAGAAGCACCGGCUAACUACGUG